UUUUCAGGUUGGGGGAAGUGCCAGUUUCCAUCAAAAAGCUCUGUGGCAGUCAAUGGGAGCUUUGGUGGAACAGCUCAGACGGGACCCAUGGGAUAUGAUUUCAGUGGUGAUAAGGCUGUCGGCAGAUGGAGUCGGACCCUAGUCAUCACACCCUUGGUUUUCACCUCUACACUACUAGCCUUCCAAUUGUGAUGCAGAGAGAGAGAGAGAGAGAGAGAGAGAGAGAGAGCGUAUAUCCUUCCUCUGUAUGUUCCAGAAUUCUAUUUGUUUGUAGGUAGGUAUUACAAGUUAGAAACAUGGGCUCCAACACUUCCAAAGCAAGCCAAAUUGCUUGUGAUUUCAGGUUUGUUUGUGCAGCUUUACUCUGAUUACACUAAUGUAAUACCCUCUUGGGGUCAUUUACUUAUUUAAUUUCAAAGUCAGCGAUCAAUUUCUGUUUA